CCCUGUACCCACACAGACACUGGACACCAAGUCAGUUAACCUCUGUACCCACACAGACACUGGACACCAAGUCAGGUAACCCCUGUACCCACACAGACACUGGACACCAAGUCAGGUAACCCCUGUACCCACACAGACACUGGACACCAAGUCAGGUAACCCCUGUACCCACACAGACACUGGACACCAAGUCAGGUAACCCCUGUACCCACACAGACACUGGACACCAAGUCAGUUAACCCCCUGUACCCACACAGACACUGGACACCAAGUCAGUUAACCCCUGUACCCACACAGACACUGGACACCAAGUCAGGUAACCCCAAUACCCACACAGACACUGGACACCAAGUCAGUUAACCCCUAUACCCACACAGACACUGGAUACCAAGUCAGUUAACCCCUGUACCCACACAGACACUGGACACCAAGUCAGGUAACCCCUAUACCCACACAGACACUUGAUACCAAGUCAGUUAACCCCUGUACCCACUCAGACACCUGACACCAAGUCAGUUAACCCCUAUACCCACACAGACACUGGAUACCAAGUCAGGUAACCCCAAUACCCACACAGACACCUGAUACCAAGUCAGGUAACCCCUGUACCCACUCAGACACCUGACACCAAGUCAGUUAACC
ensembl:lncRNA